rnacentral:rRNA from 1 species
AACGCGUAUAGAAUCUGCCUUGUACAGGAGGAUAGCCUUUAGAAAUGAAGAUUAAUACUCCAUAAUACUGAGAUGUGGCAUCACAAUUUAGUUAAACAUUUAUGGGUACAAGAUGACUAUGCGUCCUAUUAGCUAGAUGGUAAGGUAACGGCUUACCAUGGCAACGAUAGGUAGGGGGUCUGAGAGGAUUAUCCCCCACACUGGUACUGAGACACGGACCAGACUCCUACGGGAGGCAGCAGUGAGGAAUAUUGGUCAAUGGAGGCAACUCUGAACCAGCCAUACCGCGUGCAGGAAGACUGCCCUAUGGGUUGUAAACUGCUUUUAUACAGGAAGAAACAGUCGUACGUGUACGGCCUUGACGGUACUGUAAGAAUAAGCACCGGCUAACUCCGUGCCAGCAGCCGCGGUAAUACGGAGGGUGCAAGCGUUAUCCGGAAUCAUUGGGUUUAAAGGGUCCGCAGGCGGUCAAUUAAGUCAGAGGUGAAAUCCCAUAGCUUAACUAUGGAACUGCCUUUGAUACUGGUUGACUUGAGUCAUACGGAAGUAGAUAGAAUAAGUAGUGUAGCGGUGAAAUGCAUAGAGAUUACUUAGAAUACCGAUU